CCUACGGGAGGCUGCAGUGGGGAAUAUUGGGCAAUGGGCGCAAGCCUGACCCAGCAACGCCGCGUGAAGGAAGAAGGCUUUCGGGUUGUAAACUUCUUUUAAGAGGGAAGAGCAGAAGACGGUACCUCUUGAAUAAGCCACGGCUAACUACGUGCCAGCAGCCGCGGUAAUACGUAGGUGGCAAGCGUUGUCCGGAUUUACUGGGUGUAAAGGGCGUGCAGCCGGGAAGACAAGUCAGAUGUGAAAUCCCGCGGCUCAACCGCGGAACUGCAUUUGAAACUGUUUUUCUUGAGUACCGGAGAGGUCAUCGGAAUUUCUAGUGUAGGAGUGAAAUCCGUAGAUAUUAGAAGGAACACCAAUAGCGUAGGCAGGUUGCUGGGACGGUUCUGACACUAAGGCACGAAAGCGUAGGGAGCAAACGGGAUUAGAUACCCG
rnacentral:rRNA from 1 species